AGGCUGAGAAGUCCAAGAUUGAGAGGCUACUUCUGUUGAGGACCUUCUUGCUGGUGGGGACACUCUUCAGAGUCCUGAGGUGGUGCAGGGCAUCACAUGAUUCAGUCCCAAACCUCCAGUUCAUUUAUGACUUGAAUGUCUAAAUGGGCAACGUGCCAGUUCCACCUGCUUGAAACAUCCCUGUUAGACAGCAAUGUCAAGUGGUGAAAGGAUUAGAAUGCAAACUGGGAAUUCAUUAGAGUUGGAAGAAAUCUCAGGACCCAGAUUUUGUAAAAAAUCAGGUUGAAAUUCCUGAUUUGUGUCCCUGUUUCCUGCACUACAGAGUAAAUGCUUCAAAAGCAAGAACUGUAUCUUACUCAAGUUUGAAUUCUCAAUGCCUGGCACUUUGGUACAAGCGGCCUCGAGUGAUGGCAAACGACACGCUUAAAUGAUGAAAGGCUUGAUCGCGAUCUCUAAAUAUUUGACAGCCUCGCAUCGAAGAUGGACGAGAUUGGCUUUGAUGGCUCCAGAGGAGAGCAUGCAGGCUAAG